rnacentral:rRNA from 1 species
UGGGGAAUAUUGCACAAUGGGCGCAAGCCUGAUGCAGCGACGCCGCGUAAGGGAUGGAGGCCUUCGGGUUGUAAACCUCUUUCGCCAGUGAAGCAGGCCAUCUUCUUUGUGGGGUGGUUGACGGUAGCUGGAUAAGAAGCGCCGGCUAACUACGUGCCAGCAGCCGCGGUAAUACGUAGGGCGCGAGCGUUGUCCGGAAUUAUUGGGCGUAAAGAGCUCGUAGGCGGCUGGUCGCGUCUGUCGUGAAAUCCCCUGGCUUAACUGGGGGCUUGCGGUGGGUACGGGCCGGCUUGAGUGCGGUAGGGGAGACUGGAAUUCCUGGUGUAGCGGUGGAAUGCGCAGAUAUCAGGAGGAACACCGGUGGCGAAGGCGGGUCUCUGGGCCGUUACUGACGCUGAGGAGCGAAAGCGUGGGGAGCGAACAGG